GGAACUGUGGCUCAGUGGUAGAGUGCUUGGCUAGCAUACAUGAAGCCUUAGGUUUGAUUCCUCAGUACCA
rfam:Dipodomys ordii contig_63797, whole genome shotgun sequence.